AAUUGAUCAAUCCAAUAUGUUUUGGUCACAAAAUAAGGGGUAUGUAUGAGAUAAUACCAAUUCUAAAGGGCUCAAUGUCACAUUCUCUUCAGCGUUUUCUUGCAAGUACAAAUCUCCAGGGAAUCUCUGCUUUAUAAGCAGAGAUAUCGUUAAUUGUGGAUUCUAGAUACCGUCCCUACUAAGAAGUCUGCAAACAUAGGUUUUGCGAUCGGCAGUUAGAGACGAUAGUGAGUUUCGUACUAUUUUUGCGUCCACAAGAAAUUCUGCAGAAGAGGUCUCCGUAUCCAUUGUUUUCUCGUGUAUUGCUGCAGUUUAGUUUUGUACAGGUGGUUCAAUGGAUCAUUUCUAUCAAGUUAAUCACAAUAUUGCCCUAAAUCACCCCAAAGGUGGCCUCCCUAGCACCCAGUCUUCUAAAGAUUCACUGAAGCAGAUGGGGUCUGAAGAGAAAAGGGAAGCAGUUCAUGAAGAAAUGAAGAGAAUGAGCAGACUUCCACCUAGCAGUGCAUAUGCCACUCAUCGGAUGCGUGUCCUAAACAAAAUCCUGCAACUUCUUUCUAUUCAGAGAACCACUUCACAGGAUGAGGAGCUGGAAUUGCUAUUUUCCGGGCUCUCUCUAGGAUGAUAAGAAGCAAAUUUCAUAUUCCAGCGAAAUUUUUGGGUUCGUUCAAUCAAACAUUUCAGGUGCAUCUGUAAUGCUGCUUAAACUUUUGGUAGGUUUGGAAGUUGAGCAUUGAAGAGUGGUUGUGGUUUCAAAUCUGAUGGUCAUCCUUUAUCCUGCCUUUACAUAUAUAGCCUCCAACGCUGUACGAGGGGAAAAAAGGAAAAAAGGCUUUCGUUGGUUUUGCUUUAGGAGGUGCAUAUAUGCAAAGAAGGUUUCUCAGGCUAGUAUCAUAUAUAGCUGUGUUGUUGUUAAUGCACUUUUCUACACAUCGUUAUUUGCUGUUAUGUUUUAUUAUCAAAAACACUGCCCUUAUUGUAACUAGGCAAUUUUUAAGUCUUGCAUUCGUGAGCCAAGCGACUAUGAGUCCUACUAUAUGAUAUAAUAAAUUCAAUAAAAUUAUAUAAAAGUCAGUUCUAUGUUUGCUUUGAUUGGU